GGAUGUGAGGGCAAUCUGACUGUGGUAUCUGUCACCCCAUUGAUCCCCAGAAUUGAUUUAGCUGAUCUGGCUGGCUAGGCUGGUGUCUUCUUCCUCCCUCACUGCUCCAUGUGAGUCCCUCUUUAAGCUGUGGGCUUGGUUGAAGAAGACAGCCAUCUCCAAAUAGAGAAGGAAUGGUCUUUGGUUGAAGGUAUAGGAGUAGUUGCACUCUCCUGCUAGAACCUCCAAACAGGCUCUCAAGUUCCAUUUGUAGGAGAACAUAGGGGUAGUCAAGCUUCCAAAAGCAGACAGAAAC
rnacentral:snRNA from 1 species